rnacentral:pre_miRNA from 1 species
AGGGACGGGACGUGGUGCAGUGUUGUUCUUUCCCCUGCCAAUAUUGCACUCGUCCCGGCCUCC